CUUGCAACUAAUUUCAAUUUCAUCGCGAUCACUUUCAACAGGAGGUGCCCCUUCAAUCAGGAGGUAGGCAACAUACCUAUCACUCCGAUACUUUGACGACUCUAACGCUGUAGGCGCCAAUUUUACCAUUUUCGUAAUUGCAUUUGAUUGCAGUUUUUGCUAAGUACUUGAGUAUCAUUCGGACAGUCACUCAACCCACCGCCCAAACCAGAAGGGAGAGGGUUUAUUGUUCCGGUUACCUUCAACCUUCAACAUUUUUCUUCACUGUUUCUGAAUAGGAAACAAAGUAAAAAAGGUAAAUAGAUAGGUACCUCCUUUUCAUUUUUCACCUCAACCUCGGAGGGGAAGAAUUAUUGUCUGCUUACAGGAGGUUUUUUGAGGUGCAUUGGGCGGAAAUAUUGUAAAGCACUGACGGCGACAGUAUUAUUGCAUUCGCGAUAAAUUUAUCAGUAUUUAUUCCCCUGUAAUUUUCAUCAAGAUAGGGCAGACAUUGAGGGUCAUUGUCACUCAUCCUCAUUCUCCAUUUCGUUUCGAAGACCUUCGUGGACGAUUGUUACAUCGAAAUAUCGAGCUAUAAUUCAUCCACACCAUCGCUUGGUAAGUUUCAUGUAUGAUUUAAAACAACUGAACAUGAUUUUCUGUCAUGGCUAUGGCUGAAAAUUCUUUUUGAUACUGGAAAAACAAAAAUUUCUACUCCACCCGAAAGGGUUUGCUAUCCACCCUUGCCUAACCUCACUCUUCCUCUUACAGGGCACCUGAAGUACCUUCAGAUACCGAGAUUUUCUUAGCUGGUAUAACUUGCUCUCCUCAUAUUCCAGUCUACUUAAUCGAACAAUGGUUGGCUGCUAGAUUUUUUCUUCUGAUAUCAAUCAUUCUCUGCUAUCGCAAUGGAUUUUGAGGAUCGCAUUCCCAAAUUAAUGGAGGAGCUUCAAGGGCAGCCGUGGUCCAAUCUGAGGACAAAGUUGGACGAUCUUUUGGAAGAUUUUCCAGAUGAAGAGAAAUCUGACAACAGAAGACUGAUAGAGACUAGAUGCGGGAAGCUAGAUAAAGCCGAUGUUGCUAUCUACGGUUGUUGUCCUGAGUUGGAAGAGUUAGUCGUUGUUCAAUGUAGAAUAUGCUCAAAAUAGUCAAAGCUGAAGCAAUAGAAUAUCAUUAUGGUGAGAAUUUUAUCUACAUUAUUAAGUUAAUGUCCUCUUCAACAAAUAGCUAUAUU
rnacentral:lncRNA from 1 species